rnacentral:rRNA from 1 species
UUAAGUUAGAAAGGGCGCACGGUGGAUGCCUUGACACUAGGAGUCGAUGAAGGACGGGACUAACGCCGAUAUGCUUCGGGGAGCUGUAAGUAAGCUUUGAUCCGAAGAUUUCCGAAUGGGGAAACCCACCAUACGUAAUGGUAUGGUAUCCUUAUCUGAAUACAUAGGGUAAGGAAGACAGACCCAGGGAACUGAAACAUCUAAGUACCUGGAGGAAGAGAAAGCAAAUGCGAUUUCCUGAGUAGCGGCGAGCGAAACGGAACAUAGCCCAAACCAAGAGGCUUGCCUCUUGGGGUUGUAGGACAUUCUAUACGGAGUUACAAAGGAACGAGGUAGACGAAGCGACCUGGAAAGGUCCGUCGUAGAGGGUAACAACCCCGUAGUCGAAACUUCGUUCUCUCUUGAAUGUAUCCUGAGUACGGCGGAACACGUGAAAUUCCGUCGGAAUCUGGGAGGACCAUCUCCCAAGGCUAAAUACUCCCUAGUGAUCGAUAGUGAACCAGUACCGUGAGGGAAAGGUGAAAAGCACCCCGGAAGGGGAGUGAAAGAGAUCCUGAAACCGUGUGCCUACAAAUAGUCAGAGCCCGUUAACGGGUGAUGGCGUGCCUUUUGUAGAAUGAACCGGCGAGUUACGAUCCCGUGCGAGGUUAAGCUGAAGAGGCGGAGCCGCAGCGAAAGCGAGUCUGAAUAGGGCGUUUAGUACGUGGUCGUAGACCCGAAACCAGGUGAUCUACCCAUGUCCAGGGUGAAGUUCAGGUAACACUGAAUGGAGGCCCGAACCCACGCACGUUGAAAAGUGCGGGGAUGAGGUGUGGGUAGCGGAGAAAUUCCAAUCGAACCUGGAGAUAGCUGGUUCUCCCCGAAAUAGCUUUAGGGCUAGCCUUAAGUGUAAGAGUCUUGGAGGUAGAGCACUGAUUGGACUAGGGGUCCUCAUCGGAUUACCGAAUUCAGUCAAACUCCGAAUGCCAAUGACUUAUCCUUAGGAGUCAGACUGCGAGUGAUAAGAUCCGUAGUCAAAAGGGAAACAGCCCAGACCGCCAGCUAAGGUCCCAAAGUGUGUAUUAAGUGGAAAAGGAUGUGGAGUUGCUUAGACAACUAGGAUGUUGGCUUAGAAGCAGCCACCAUUUAAAGAGUGCGUAAUAGCUCACUAGUCGAGUGACUCUGCGCCGAAAAUGUACCGGGGCUAAAUACACCACCGAAGCUGCGGAUUGAUACCGAAUGGUAUCAGUGGUAGGGGAGCGUUCUAAGGACAGUGAAGUCAGACCGUAAGGACUGGUGGAGUGCUUAGAAGUGAGAAUGCCGGUAUGAGUAGCGAAAGACGGGUGAGAAUCCCGUCCACCGAAUGCCUAAGGUUUCCUGAGGAAGGCUCGUCCGCUCAGGGUUAGUCAGGACCUAAGCCGAGGCCGACAGGCGUAGGCGAUGGACAACAGGUUGAUAUUCCUGUACCACCUCUUUAUCGUUUGAGCAAUGGAGGGACGCAGAAGGAUAGAAGAAGCGUGCGAUUGGUUGUGCACGUCCAAGCAGUUAGGCUGAUAAGUAGGCAAAUCCGCUUAUCAUAAAGGCUGAGCUGUGAUGGGGAAGCUCCUUAUGGAGCGAAGUCUUUGAUUCCCCGCUGCCAAGAAAAGCUUCUAGCGAGAUAAAAGGUGCCUGUACCGCAAACCGACACAGGUAGGCGAGGAGAGAAUCCUAAGGUGUGCGAGAGAACUCUGGUUAAGGAACUCGGCAAAAUGACCCCGUAACUUCGGGAGAAGGGGUGCUUUCUUAACGGAAAGCCGCAGUGAAUAGGCCCAAGCGACUGUUUAGCAAAAACACAGCUCUCUGCGAAGCCGUAAGGCGAAGUAUAGGGGGUGACACCUGCCCGGUGCUGGAAGGUUAAGGAGAGGGGUUAGCGUAAGCGAAGCUCUGAACUGAAGCCCCAGUAAACGGCGGCCGUAACUAUAACGGUCCUAAGGUAGCGAAAUUCCUUGUCGGGUAAGUUCCGACCCGCACGAAAGGUGUAACGAUUUGGGCACUGUCUCAACCAGAGACUCGGUGAAAUUAUAGUACCUGUGAAGAUGCAGGUUACCCGCGACAGGACGGAAAGACCCCGUGGAGCUUUACUGUAGCCUGAUAUUGAAUUUUGGUACAGUUUGUACAGGAUAGGCGGGAGCCAUUGAAACCGGAGCGCUAGCUUCGGUGGAGGCGCUGGUGGGAUACCGCCCUGACUGUAUUGAAAUUCUAACCUACGGGUCUUAUCGACCCGGGAGACAGUGUCAGGUGGGCAGUUUGACUGGGGCGGUCGCCUCCUAAAGUGUAACGGAGGCGCCCAAAGGUUCCCUCAGAAUGGUUGGAAAUCAUUCGUAGAGUGCAAAGGCAUAAGGGAGCUUGACUGCGAGACCUACAAGUCGAGCAGGGACGAAAGUCGGGCUUAGUGAUCCGGUGGUUCCGCAUGGAAGGGCCAUCGCUCAACGGAUAAAAGCUACCCUGGGGAUAACAGGCUUAUCUCCCCCAAGAGUCCACAUCGACGGGGAGGUUUGGCACCUCGAUGUCGGCUCAUCGCAUCCUGGGGCUGUAGUCGGUCCCAAGGGUUGGGCUGUUCGCCCAUUAAAGCGGUACGCGAGCUGGGUUCAGAACGUCGUGAGACAGUUCGGUCCCUAUCCGUCGUGGGCGUAGGAAAUUUGAGAGGAGCUGUCCUUAGUACGAGAGGACCGGGAUGGACGCACCGCUGGUGUACCAGUUGUUCUGCCAAGGGCAUAGCUGGGUAGCUAUGUGCGGAAGGGAUAAGUGCUGAAAGCAUCUAAGCAUGAAGCCCCCCUCAAGAUGAGAUUUCCCAUAGCGUAAGCUAGUAAGAUCCCUGAAAGAUGAUCAGGUUGAUAGGUUCGAGGUGGAAGCAUGGUGACAUGUGGAGCUGACGAAUACUAAUAGAUCGAGGACUUAACCAU